UAGGGAAUCUUCCACAAUGGACGCAAGCCUGAUGGAGCAACGCCGCGUGAGUGAAGAAGGUCUUCGGAUCGUAAAACUCUGUUGUUAGAGAAGAACAUGCAGGAGAGUAACUGUUCUUGUAUUGACGGUAUCUAACCAGAAAGCCACGGCUAACUACGUGCAAG
rnacentral:rRNA from 1 species